rnacentral:rRNA from 1 species
AGAGUUUGAUCCUGGCUCAGAUUGAACGCUGGCGGCAUGCCUUACACAUGCAAGUCGAACGGCAGCAUGAUCUAGCUUGCUAGAUUGAUGGCGAGUGGCGAACGGGUGAGUAAUGCAUCGGAACGUGCCCUGUAGUGGGGGAUAACUAGUCGAAAGAUUAGCUAAUACCGCAUACGACCUGAGGGUGAAAGUGGGGGACCGCAAGGCCUCAUGCUAUAGGAGCGGCCGAUGUCUGAUUAGCUAGUUGGUGGGGUAAAGGCCCACCAAGGCGACGAUCAGUAGCUGGUCUGAGAGGACGAUCAGCCACACUGGGACUGAGACACGGCCCAGACUCCUACGGGAGGCAGCAGUGGGGAAUUUUGGACAAUGGGCGAAAGCCUGAUCCAGCAAUGCCGCGUGUGUGAAGAAGGCCUUCGGGUUGUAAAGCACUUUUGUCCGGAAAGAAAUGGCUCUGGUUAAUACCUGGGGUCGAUGACGGUACCGGAAGAAUAAGGACCGGCUAACUACGUGCCAGCAGCCGCGGUAAUACGUAGGGUCCAAGCGUUAAUCGGAAUUACUGGGCGUAAAGCGUGCGCAGGCGGUUGUGCAAGACCGAUGUGAAAUCCCCGAGCUUAACUUGGGAAUUGCAUUGGUGACUGCACGGCUAGAGUGUGUCAGAGGGGGGUAGAAUUCCACGUGUAGCAGUGAAAUGCGUAGAGAUGUGGAGGAAUACCGAUGGCGAAGGCAGCCCCCUGGGAUAACACUGACGCUCAUGCACGAAAGCGUGG